AUUGAACGCUGGCGGCAUGCUUUACACAUGCAAGUCGAACGGCAGCACGGGUGCUUGCACCUGGUGGCGAGUGGCGAACGGGUGAGUAAUGUAUCGGAACGUACCAUUCAGUGGGGGAUAACGUAGCGAAAGUUACGCUAAUACCGCAUAUUCUCCGAGGAGGAAAGUAGGGGAUCGCAAGACCUUGCGCUGAUUGAGCGGCCGAUAUCGGAUUAGCUAGUUGGUGAGGUAAAGGCUCACCAAGGCGACGAUCCGUAGCUGGUCUGAGAGGAUGAUCAGCCACACUGGAACUGAGACACGGUCCAGACUCCUACGGGAGGCAGCAGUGGGGAAUUUUGGACAAUGGGGGCAACCCUGAUCCAGCCAUGCCGCGUGAGUGAAGAAGGCCUUCGGGUUGUAAAGCUCUUUCGCGAGGGAAGAAAGCGCAACGGUUAAUACCCGUUGUGGAUGACGGUACCUUGAUAAGAAGCACCGGCUAACUACGUGCCAGCAGCCGCGGUAA
rnacentral:rRNA from 1 species